rnacentral:lncRNA from 1 species
CUGGCAGGCUAUGUACUUCCUGCAUACGGGGAAAGGGACGUCCUUUGAGACCCCCUUAACAAGGAAAGGCUUGGCUACUGAUACACUGGGAGCGGAUGGACUACAGGCUCCAGGUACCUCUGCCCACAAGUUCCUUAGCAUCUCUCCUAUGGCAUUCUACCUCCUGACAGCUUCCAUGCCAGGUAUGAUGCUGCUUCCUUCUUCAUCAACACAGCCUCACCGCUCAGCAUAUUGCUGCUUAAGCUGCCCCAAUUCCAUGGGGUUCCUAUCUGCAGCAUCAA